UGGGUCAAAAUGGAGCUUCCUUUGCCAUAAAAAUUGAAAGGAGGUGAUUGUAGACCAUGAUUGAAAGCUCAUAUAUACCCCAUGUGAGUGACCACAAAUAUCAUUAUGCACUCACUAGGGUGUGCAUGAGCUUUGAAACAUGGCUAUUUUGAUCUUUUCUAUUUUGUGGUGAAGGAAGCUCCAAUCAAAUUU
rnacentral:pre_miRNA from 1 species